rnacentral:tRNA from 1 species
GCCCUUAUCGUCUAGAGGCCUAGGACGCGGCCCUUUCAAGGCUGAAACUCGGGUUCGAAUCCCGAUAGGGGUA